GAGUUGUGCAGCCCUGCCCUAGAGGUUUUUAUGGUGUUGAGCUCCCUGGCAGAUUCUCUGAUGACUAACAUGGGCUGAGUGCCAAGCGAAGGUUUUCCCACACUCACUGCAUCCAUGGGGCUUCUCCCCUGUGUGGAUUCUCUGAUGGGAAAUAAGAUGUGAGCUGCACUUGAAGGUUUUCCCACACUCACUGCAUCCAUGGGGCUUCUCCCCUGUGUGGAUUCUCUGAUGGGAAAUAAGAUGUGAGCUGCGCUUGAAGGUUUUCCCACACACA